CAAACUCCUUACCUCAAGUGAUCCAACCGCCUCGGCCUCCCAAAGUUCUGGGAUUACAGGUCUGAGCCACCAUGCCCGACCAAGAAGUCAUCUAUAUUAGAUCUACUCUUUGGAAUCACUGAGGUUUUGUGUCCUUUCAUGUGGUAAGUUAAUAUAAUGAAUUUUCUGUAUCCUUUGCCUGAAUUUCCCAUACUGUUUCCUCUUUAAAUUUGAAUGUUGUGUUGGUACAUAGUCUGGCCUAUGGAUUUUUCAGUGGUGAUUAUAUCUUGUUAAAUUUCCUUCUUGGUCUCCUUUAAUGCUUUUGGCCUUUCUUUUAAUCUUGUCUGAUUAGACUGUGUCACCUUGGUCUUGUGUGUUGUUUGUCUUUACCUGGUGUAUUUUUGCCCUAUGAGUAUAUCUUAUCUUCUUACACACUUUGAAAUAAUUUUAGAUUCAUAUAGACUUCCAAAAAUUGUACAGGAGUUUCUGUCACUCCAUGAGUGAGUGGAUAAAGAAAUUGUGGUACAUCCAUGCAGUGGAAUACUAGUCAGCCAUGAAGAAGAACACACAUAAAACAACUUGAAGGGACCUUACAGGUAUUAUGCUUAGUGACAAAAGCCAGUCUUAAAAGGUUCUAUACCAUGAUUCCAUUUAUGUAACAGUAUUGAAGGAACAACAUUAUGGUGAUGAAGAAGGGAUUAGAGGUUGCUGGGAUUAGGAGGGUGUUACUAUAAAAAGUAAGGAGGAGUUUUUCAGGGGCGAUGGAAGUUUUGCCUCCUCAUUGUAGCAGUGGUUACCUGAAUUGAUGUGUGUCAUACAAUUUCAUAGAACUUGUGUUGUGGGGGGCAGGAAACCACUCUCAGACCCAGUGAUUGGCUAGAAAGACUCAGGACUCAGAAACUGUUGAGCUCAGAGGGAGAGGGUGACCAGUCUCUGCAGUUGCAGCCCUGGGGCUGUUCUAAUCUGUAUCUUUUCCUGGUAAUAGACAUGGCUGUGAGCAUGACAGGUGUCAGUGAGCUCUGUGUGCCUCAUCAACGAAUCAUCCAACCUGAAGGUGGUUGUGGGAAACUCUUGGACCUGCAGUCAGUAUCAGAAGGCCUGGGCAGACUUGGCCAGCCACCUGGAGCACUGUGCCCUUAAACUCAGGGCAUUCACUGGUGACCCACACUGACACUGCUUUUUGGAGGACAAGGCAGAGUUGACCAUCCCAGUCUUGCCUGGAGGUCAUAGGACCGUUGUCACUGCAGCCUCAGGUCUGAUGCAUAAUCCCAUGACCCUCCAGAUCUGAGCCAUGACCCACUCUGGGCCCUGCCGGCGGGGAGGCGGUGGGCCCAUGGGGGCUGCCUCACUGGCCUCCCUCGUCCUCUAUUCCGGGUUGGGGUUGGCUCUCAGCACACUGGGGAAAAGGGUGGGGUCGAUGACUUGUCCCUGGCUCCCUCCCCUUGCCCCAUGCCUGCCAUAACCGCAGCUUCAGAGAAAGGUGCCACACUCGCUUGGCUGACAAUGUCGGGGAGUCCCCUGGGCUCCACACCAGGGCGUGUGCCCUUGGAAAACCACGGUGACUGAAUCAUGUCCCUUUCAGCCAAAACUGGAAGACAGCCCAGCUCCCUGCCUUCAGGUGACCAGAUCUCUAAGUCACAUUACUGGCCCCAGGGUCAAGUCCAGGCUCCCCAGCUGGGGUACCUCCCAGGCUGAGUACAGGCCUUGCUCCCUCCUUCCUCCCUGCACGUGCUCUGAGCCUCCAGCCCGACGCCUGGGAUGCCGGUGCCCCUUGGGCCCCAGACCCUACUACUCUUGAGUGACAGGCCUCUUCCUAGGGGUUUCUGUGCAUCCGUCACAUCACCCACGUUAGAGUCCCUUCCUGUGAGGACAGAAGGGCCCUGAAGACAGAGCCGGCCCCUGGUGAGCUCUGCUUUCCCGCACUGACCCCUCCUGGGCUGCAGCUCCCCACCUGGCAGCUGCCGCCCCCCAUGGCCCUGGUCGAGGUCACCUGUCGUUCCCGUCCCCACCACUCACCAAGCGCUCCCAGGUUCUCCGUCUGGAAGACCCUCUGCAGCGGGGGGAUGUAAAUGACCGCCAGCUGCCCCAGGAUGGACCCCAGGACGGAGUAGAGGAACAUGUGGUUCCUGAGAAAGCCGAUCUCAAAUAUCAGCUUGGUCUGCAGGGAGAAGGUCACACGGGGGAUUGUGUGCUGUCCACACCCCAGGUACAGGCAGGGGAGCUCUGACUGCCCACGCUGAGCCAGAGCCGCUCAAUGCUGCGGGCAGGGUCGGGGCGCUGCUGUCGAGAACACACAGCAGCUCUGCAGCGAGGAGGGUCAGCCCGGGUCUCACCUGAGAGCGGCAGGUCAAGGCGUUGAAGAGAUCGAAAAACACAAAACAAGUGAACGUCAUCGUCGUGGUGCGGGGAGUGCUUGCUCUGUCUUCAGGCAUCUGGAAGGUGAGCACAAAGAUGUGAGCUGUGGCAGGAGGGCAGGGACUGCAGUCCCCAGCGUCUGCACCGCACCAGGGCUUGGAGAACAGGCCGGGGUGACCCUCGCUCACCUCCUUCCAGAAGAUAAAGAGGGUCCCGCUGAUGAUGAUGGCCGCGGACAUGAGGAUCUUCAGGAUGAGGGCUCUGCUGAGGAUGGUGUCCCGCACACUCCGUGGUGGCUGCCUGAAGGCGUCUUUGUCAACGGGCUCUACCCCCAAGCUGCUCCGAACAAGACACAGACACUUUGAAAUGAACCAGGAAUGAAAUAAAGGACCCUUGAAACAGCUGUGCCUGAGCCUCCCAGGCCAAGUUGGCACAGGGGGCAGGGCCAGGCAUUUGCUGAACGCCCCCAGGCAUCGCACCUGCCCUCCUCGGCACCUUCCAGAAGCCCCAGAGCCUGGGUCCAUGGGCAGCUGUGCCCCUCCAUCUGUCCCGCAGACAGUGAAGGAAGACCACCCCGUAAGGCCAACCACACACAGUUCCAUACACCCAGAUGAUCUCCAUCACCCCGAGGGGACCCCCCCCAACGUUGCGCCUGGAGAAACAGGCUCCAGGCUCCGCCCUCCGCAGAGCCCCUCAUCAGCUGAGAGAGACCAGCCUCCAGCCAACUCCACACAGCAGGGUUGAGGCUAGACCCGCAGCAGGCGGUAUGGUGGGAGUGGCCGGGUGAGGCCCUGCCGCUCAGACACAGCUGAGGCCAGCUUCCUGGUCCCACUUCUGCUCCCAGGGAGGGCUGGCAGGAGAGGUAACCCUCACACUUGGCUUUGGGGACACAAAUGAGGACUCUCUUUCCCUUGGCAGCUAUCACUGGUGAUAACAGCAGCACUGAGCUCCAGCGGAAGCACUGGCUCUGUGCUCAUACGGUUACGCACACGUGGCCAGAUGGGUCCCCUGACUCCAAAGCGCAUUCCUUCCCCCACACCACUUGGCCAGCUUGUUGAAGGGGAUAUUAAGUGGCGGAGCGGGUGGACUCCUGAGCACCUACUGAGUGGCAAGCCCUUUAUCUCUAGACAUCAGGGAUGAAACACAAACUCCGCCUCCAUGAAACUGAUGUUCUAAAGGGGAGACAGAUCACAAUCAGAUCCAUAAGGAAAAGUGUGUCUGUGUGUAUCUUCCUCUCUAGGGAAAAAUACAGCAGGGUGAGGGGAUUGAGUGGGAGUGCAAUCAGGGAAGACUUCCUGAAGGCAGUGACUGGUGACUGGAAUGAAGCAUGAGAAUGAGCCAUGCAGGUUGCCCAGAGAGAGCAUCCAGGCAGAGGGAGCAGAAAGUUCCAUCCUCACCCAGCUCUGCCGGCCCAGGUACUUUCUCCUCUGCCUUCUACUCCCAGUCUCACUGCAGUGCAACACACUUCAGUUUUCUGGGAACUCCUGAUGGAAAGUGGCUGUAUUUGUUCAUCCCUAUAGCCUUGGGGCACAGCCAGCAGCCCCUGGAGGAAGCCCCGCAGGUGGGUAAAGAGACACAGGGCUCCCAGCCGGCCCUGCCUCACCUCUGCGCCGGUGGCCCAUCCAUGAUGAUGUUGAUCCAUAGGAUCUGCAUGGCGUUGAGGGGGCUGGGCAGGUUGAACACGGUGGACAGAGUGAUGAGACUCAGGGCGGAGAUGCUCCUGCGGGGCAC
rnacentral:lncRNA from 1 species